rnacentral:rRNA from 1 species
AAACCAACAGGGAUUGCCCCAGUAACGGCGAGUGAGCGGCAGAGCUCAAAUUUGAAAUCUGGCCUCCCCCGGGGGUCCGAGUUGUAAUUUGCAGAGGAUGCUUCGGGCGCGGCCCCCGUCUAAGUUCCUUGGAACAGGACGUCAGAGAGGGUGAGAAUCCCGUCUUGGGCGGGCGGCCCGCGCCCGUGUGAAGCUCCUUCGACGAGUCGAGUUGUUUGGGAAUGCAGCUCUGAGCGGGUGGUAAAUUUCAUCUAAAGCUAAAUACCGGCCGGAGACCGAUAGCGCACAAGUAGAGUGAUCGAAAGGUUAAAAGCACCUUGAAAAGGGAGUUAAACAGCACGUGAAAUUGUUGAAAGGGAAGCGCUUGCGGCCAGACUCGGGGGGCGGGGUUCAGCGGGCGCUCGUCGCCCGUGCACUGCCCGCUCCCCGGGCCAGCAUCAGCUUCGACGGCCGGUCAAAGGCCCCCGGAAUGUGUCGUCUCUAGGGACGUCUUAUAGCCGGGGGUGCAAUGCGGCCCGUCGAGACUGAGGAACGCGCUCCGGCUCGGAUGCUGGCGUAAUGGCGGC